CUCUUUGACAGGGGCGUGCUGUCAGCUCAUAUGAAAGCACGCCCCUGUCCCUGAUCUUAUGUGAUUGGGCACUGAGCAGUGGGGCUGUGAUCAUGAUGUGAGCUGCAGAGCAGUGCAGGGGAACAGCCAGCCCUCCUCCUCGGCUCCAGACUCUGGACUUCAAGACAGCACAGCUGCCACUAGUACACAGCUCGACAUGGAUGAAGUCCGGGGGACUCCACUGAGGCAUCAUCAGUAUUUUACAGUAUAUAACCUUACUGGAUGCUGUAUUAUAGCCAUUGCAUUCCUCUGCAUUAUAUUUCUUUUCAGUGUAACCCUUUAAACACUGUUGCCACUAAGUGUGCUAAUGAUUUAUUGCGUCAAUCUGAAUUAAAUGCAAUCUAGUUUCCAUCUUU